CUUUAUGUAUGACUAAUUUUUUUAAAAUUUUUCAUAAAUUUUUUAAAUAAAACGAAUGGUCAAACGUUGUUGGAUACGGAUUUCCACGGCUGCGCUUCUCUUUUGAGACGGAGGUAGUAGCAUUUUGUUGAUGAGAGUUGCAGUGUCCUGCGGGUCAUACUGCACAAUACCAACUCUCCCCAGAAAAUUGUUACUACUGAUGCUCUUUAACUGGAAAGUCGAAACUUUUGUCCAGCAGCAUGGUGCUUGUUAUCCGUUGUAGUUGAAUGCUGAAGUGUAUGCAAUGAUGUAUCUUCAGACAUUUUCCCCCCAAAUUAAACUUGGUCGUGGACAGUGCUCUAGAAUUUGACUCCACUUCUUCUUCUUCUUCUUCUUCUUCUUCUUCUUUUUUGAAAAAGAUGGCAAAAACUGCAGUCGGAGUACAACAGCGUCCAAGCAGGUUGAGUAGACUGUUCCACAUGCAUCAAUGCAUUGCUUCUACAAUGUCUGGAUGGAACAAUAGGAGUAAUACUAAUUACAAUAAUCCGGGUAUACGGGGGAAUUAAUCAAUUAAUGAAAGGAACAUCUCUCGGAAAAAUGAGCCCCACUCCGAUGUUGUUUAUUGUACUUCCUCCGUUUCAUAAUGUAAGUCAUUCUAGAAUUUUUCAUAUUUAUAUAGAUGGUGGUGAAUCUAGGCAUUAUACGAAUGUGAGAAAUCCUAAAAUAACUUAAGUUCUAGAAUGACUUCGUAGUAGAAGCAAUGGUUGCGAUGGCAGCUGCUGCGAUGCCACUUCGCUCUUUGCCGAUCUGGUUGCCCGAGCUCCUUUCGCCUCGCUUUCUCGCAGACGAGAUCACCGCCGUCUAGCUCGCCCGCAACAAGGAGGCCGUCAUUGCUGGCCUACACGCCACCCUCGACCACCUCCUCGGCGUUGCCUCGUCCAAGUCGGUGACUCCAACCCCUCACCGUCAUGGCCAACGAUGUCGAGUUGGAGUAGCGGCUCCAUCAGUGGCCGGGUUGGAGGAGCAAAGAAGAGAGGAGAGGAAAGAAGACGGGAGCAAGUAGUAAGAAGAUAAAAAAGAAAAUGAAAAAGGUGACAACAGUGGCAUGAUUAUAAUUUUAUAAAAUUUUAGUGGUACAACUGCUAAUAGAUGAAUUAUGAUGACAUUUUUUUGAAUAGAUAAAUUUGUAAUGACAUGGAUUCAAUUAAAAAAAAAGAUUUUGGCGAUAGAGGUGACAGCAGAUUCAGAAUAGUUAAUUAUGAGACGGAGAGAGUAGUAAAAUGCCCCCGGCAGAUUCUCCCCUCACCGCCAUAACGAGGGCCAUCUUUUGUGGAAACGCUGCAGCGCUGCCUGUGGCCGCGCCGUCGUGUGCAGGUUUGGGCUCCUCGCCGGCCGUCGCACGCCGGUGCGCGGCGCGGAGGAGGCCUCUCCCUCCGACGGCUGCCGCACGCCGGUGAAGAACGGAGGCCAGCGCGAGCAAGGCCACAGCCCGCCGCCGGUUCCCUUGGGUGAGGCGUUUCGUCUUGCUGACUUCCUGAGGCAAUUACUGUGUUCUUCCAUCCGCCAUUCGCCCGCUAGGGUUUUUCCCCGCCUCCAUUUGGGGGCUUGGGUGUUAUUUCAAUGUUGUGUUUGAUUUGGAUGAAUAAAAUGAACCCCCCUAUGCCAUGUUUCUGUUGACCGUAGCCGUAGUGUCGAUUAGCACUUGAGCCAAAUAAUGAGAUCUUUAGUUUUAGCCAUUCAGCUUCAAAGUAAUGCACAUUUUUUUUUUUUUAGCAAUAGCUGCAGAUGUUGUUUGUGGUGUGAAUUGGUGAUAUCUGGUUCCUAUUUCCAGUCCUGCCAACAGGCCGGAACAAAAUUGUGUGCGAUGGUUUUCAUAUCUUGGGGUUAAAAUUAAAGAAGAAGAGGGAAGCCCCUCCAUUUCCAUUAAUAGAGGGUAAAAAGGAAAUGCCACCCAAGUUGUUUAAGAGUACAUUUUAUUCCUUGUUCGAGUGCCAAGUACUAGUAAGUCUUAUGUGGAUGUGUCGCUUUUUGCAUUGGAGAAAAGGAUGCUUCACUGCUGUAGUACACUUCCUGUAAUAGGAUGCCAGGGUCUCUUCUCUCCAAAAUGGAAAAGAUUUAUUUAGCCAUUGCCGCAGCUGUGGUUACUAGCGUUCUCUGUACUGUGAUUAGCAAUAUCUAGUUUCUAUAUCCAGUCCUACCAACAGGGCGGAACAUGAUUGCGUUUUUGAGGUUUUCUUUUUCGGGUAGAAGAGAAAUGCCCCACAAAAUUUGUUUCUUUUCCUCGCACUUCAAUCUUAUUUUGUUUCCUGCUUACAAGAACAAAUUUUUGAUUGCAAAUUACUAACGUGCUGUAUCCAAUUUUGCUUGUGUGGAUCUAUUUCUCCAUUCUGUGGAUAUGGCAGUUGGCACCCUCGCACACCAACUACUCGAUUGAAUGCCCCUGAUAAAGUAAGCUCUUCCAGAGAGAGAGAGAUAUGUCCCAGUCUAGCAGGCGAACGAGUGUCUGUGACAGGAUCAGUGCUCUGCCUGACGAACUUUUGCACCAUGUCAUGACAUUCCUAACAGCGAAGGAGGCUGUGCAGACUUGUGUGCUAUCUCGGAGGUGGCAGAACGUCUGGGCAUCUGUGGGAUACCUCAAUGUUGACUCGUGCAACUUCAUUACAGUGAAACAUUUUAAGAAGUUUGUUGACAAUUUGCUCCUGCAGCGCAGCUGUGCCCUGUUGGAUAUGUUCUGUAUCCAUACCUCCUAUGACAGCUCUGAUGAUUCCCUUGAUUAUUCUGACAUCCAUCCAUGGGUCUGCCAUGCCCUUAGGUGCAACGUUAAAACUCUCGGCAUACUCAAUUAUUGUGAUGGCAAGCUCCUUUCUGUAGAUGGAUAUCCUGUCCCCUUCACUUUCUUGCACUUGAAGAGUGUAUACCUUUGCAAAUUUUCUAUUGAUAACCGUUUUGUCGAGAAACUCUUUUCUGGUUGCCCGGAGCUACUGCAUCUGGAGUUGAGACAUUGUGCCAUCAAGGCCACCAUGUUUUGCUCUGCUACAUUGAAGAUUCUGACCAUUACAGCUGCAGAUAGAACUCAAGAUGACCCAGAAGGUUUUCAGCAUCUUGUGAUAAAUAUGCCAAACCUUAUCUGCCUGCAUGUAGAGGAGAUUGCAAACAGAAAUCUUCGGCUCCUAGACAUAUCAUCAGUGGAAUCAGCUUCAGUUUACCCUUAAUAGGUUCUCUUUUGGACAUUCUGAUGUUGACUGCACUAUUCUCAGUGCUCUUUCAAACGCUGCAAGAUUGCACUUGAUGUCUUCAUCUAUCUACGAAGAUGUGGUCCAAAAGGUAUUACUACGUGAUCUUCCAAGGUGUGGGAUAUUCAGCAAUCUAACGAGUUUGGCACUUGGUGAGUUGUUUUUUAGUGAUGGCUGCUAUCCACUACUGUACUUGCUUCGGCACUCACCUAACAUAGAGAAACUUUCCCUGCAUCUUGUCAAGCAUGGAGCUUAUGCCUAUGAUCACGACACCAAUUCUGCAAAUGCUACUGCAGAUUUAGAUCCCACAUGCGAAGGAACAGGGACAGCAGUUAACUGUGAAAAGCUUAGGAAAAUCAAAAUCAUUUGCCCACAAGGCGAUAGAAGAGUCCACAUCAUUGUGAAGAUCUUAUUUUCCAUUAUUAAUCCUCUCCCUCAAAUCAAAAUCCAUCCCCAAAAUGGCUGAGAAUGUUGAGCAUCUUAAUUUCAGCAUUUGCACACUCAAGUCUGUUGAAUUGGAAUUCCAUGACUCAUAUUUCAAUGUUUUCUUUUACAACCUAGGCCACCAGUUACGUUAUUGAAGAUGUUGAUGGUUAUGAUCCUAAAUCUGUUUUGUAAGUGAUGUGGAUUUUGAUGACUAGGGUGGUCAUCUUAAGGUGGAUCAGAUUUUCUUAUUCUUGGGCAAGUUGUUAUUUCUCCUUUUGAUGACUCUAUUUGGGCAAGUUGUUCAAGUAAAAUGAUUUUUAGUUGUUACUCAGUUGAGAUAUUAUUUGGUGA